rnacentral:rRNA from 1 species
AGUGAACGCUGGCGGUAGGCCUAACACAUGCAAGUCGAACGGCAGCACAGUAAGAGCUUGCUCUUACGGGUGGCGAGUGGCGGGCGGGUGAGGCAUACAUCGGAAUCUACUUUUUCGUGGGGGAUAACGGAGGGAAACAGACGCUAAUACCGCAUACGACCUACGGGUGAAAGCAGGAGAUCUUCGGACCUUGCGCGAUUGAAUGAGCCGGUGUCGGAUUAGCUAGUUGGCGGGGUAAAGGCCCACCAAGGCGACGAUCCGUAGCUGGUCUGAGAGGAUGAUCGGCCACACUGGAACUGAGACACGGUCCAGACUCCUACGGGAGGCAGCAGUGGGGAAUAUUCCGCAAUGGGCGAAAGCCUGAUCCAGCCAUACCGCGUGAGUGAUGAAGGCCUUCGGAUUGUAAAGCCCUUUUGUUGGGAAAGAAAAACAGCAGGUGAAUCCCCCGCUGUUCUGACGGUACCCAAACAGUAAGCCCCGGCUAACUUCGUG